CCAGACUCCUACGGGAGGCAGCAGUAGGGAAUCUUCCGCAAUGGACGAAAGUCUGACGGAGCAACGCCGCGUGAGUGAUGAAGGCUUUCGGGUCGUAAAACUCUGUUGUUAGGGAAGAACAAGUGCUAGUUGAAUAAGCUGGCACCUUGACGGUACCUAACCAGAAAGCCACGGCUAACUACGUGCCAGCAGCCGCGGUAAUACGUAGGUGGCAAGCGUUAUCCGGAAUUAUUGGGCGUAAAGCGCGCGCAGGUGGUUUCUUAAGUCUGAUGUGAAAGCCCACGGCUCAACCGUGGAGGGUCAUUGGAAACUGGGAGACUUGAGUGCAGAAGAGGAAAGUGGAAUUCCAUGUGUAGCGGUGAAAUGCGUAGAGAUAUGGAGGAACACCAGUGGCGAAGGCGACUUUCUGGUCUGUAACUGACACUGAGGCGCGAAAGCGUGGGGAGCAAACAGGAUUAGAUACCCUGGUAGUCCACGCCGUAAACGAUGAGUGCUAAGUGUUAGAGGGUUUCCGCCCUUUAGUGCUGAAGUUAACGCAUUAAGCACUCCGCCUGGGGAGUACGGCCGCAAGGCUGAAACUCAAAUGAAUUGACGGA
rnacentral:rRNA from 2 species